rnacentral:rRNA from 1 species
CAGUAGCCGCGGUAAUACGUAGGUCCCGAGCGUUGUCCGGAUUUAUUGGGCGUAAAGCGAGCGCAGGCGGUUAGAUAAGUCUGAAGUUAAAGGCUGUGGCUUAACCAUAGUACGCUUUGGAAACUGUUUAACUUGAGUGCAAGAGGGGAGAGUGGAAUUCCAUGUGUAGCGGUGAAAUGCGUAGAUAUAUGGAGGAACACCGGUGGCGAAAGCGGCUCUCUGGCUUGUAACUGACGCUGAGGCUCGAAAGCGUGGGAGCAAACAGGAUUAGAGACCCCAGUAGUCCCUGUCUCUUAUACAC